AGUGAAAUUGCUGGGUCAUGUGGUAACUAACUUUUUGAGAAACUGCCAAACUGUUUUCCAAAUCAGCAGUACCAUUUUACUUUCCCACCAGCAGU
rnacentral:pre_miRNA from 1 species